AGAGUUUGAUCCUGGCUCAGGAUGAACGCUGGCGACAGGCUUAACACAUGCAAGACGAGGGGCAGCGGUGGUGAAGGCUUGCCUUUACCAGCCAGGCGACCGAGCGCACGGGGUGAGUAACACGUACGCAACCUGCCUGCCACAGCCGGAUAAUCGGGAGAAAUUCCGUCUAAUACGGCAUAAUGCACCUAUGGGACAUCCUGUUGGUUCAAAGGAGCGAUCCGGCUGCGGAUGGUCAUGCGGCGCAUUAGCUAGUUGGCGGGGCAACGGCCCACCAAGGCGACGAUGCGUAGGGGUUCUGAGAGGAAGGUCCCCCACACUGGUACUGAGACACGGACCAGACUCCUACGGGAGGCAGCAGUGAGGAAUAUUGGUCAAUGGCCGAGAGGCUGAACCAGCCAAGUCGCGUGAGGGAUGACGGCCCUACGGGUUGUAAACCUCUUUUGCCGGGGAGCAAAGAGCGGGACGCGUCCCGCCUCGAGAGUACCCGGAGAAAAAGCAUCGGCUAACUCCGUGCCAGCAGCCGCGGUAAUACGGAGGAUGCGAGCGUUAUCCGGAUUUAUUGGGUUUAAAGGGUGCGCAGGCGGAAGCGCAAGUCAGCGGUAAAAUUGAGAGGCUCAACCUCUUCCCGCCGUUGAAACUGCGUUUCUUGAGUGGGCGAGAAGUACGCGGAAUGCGUGGUGUAGCGGUGAAAUGCAUAGAUAUCACGCAGAACUCCGAUUGCGAAGGCAGCGUACCGGCGCCCAACUGACGCUCAUGCACGAAAGCGUGGGUAUCGAACAGGAUUAGAUACCCUGGUAGUCCACGCAGUAAACGAUGAAUACUCGCUGUCCGGGGAGAUUGGUCUCUGGGCGGCCAAGCGAAAGCGUUAAGUAUUCCACCUGGGGAGUACGCCGGCAACGGUGAAACUCAAAGGAAUUGACGGGGGCCCGCACAAGCGGAGGAACAUGUGGUUUAAUUCGAUGAUACGCGAGGAACCUUACCCGGGCUCAAACGACGGAUGAAUACUUUUGAAAGGAGGUAGUCCUUCGGGACAUCCGUCGAGGUGCUGCAUGGUUGUCGUCAGCUCGUGCCGUGAGGUGUCGGCUUAAGUGCCAUAACGAGCGCAACCCCCAUCGCCAGUUGCCAACAGGUAAAGCUGGGAACUCUGGCGAGACUGCCGGCACAAGCUGUGAGGAAGGCGGGGAUGACGUCAAAUCAGCACGGCCCUUACGUCCGGGGCGACACACGUGUUACAAUGGCAGGUACAGAGAGAUGCGACACGGCGACGUGGAGCGGAACUGUCAAAACCUGUCUCAGUUCGGAUCGGAGUCUGCAACCCGACUCCGUGAAGCUGGAUUCGCUAGUAAUCGCGCAUCAGCCAUGGCGCGGUGAAUACGUUCCCGGGCCUUGCACACACCGCCCGUCA
rnacentral:rRNA from 1 species